UCUACGGGCGGCUGCAGUGAGGAAUAUUGGGCAAUGGAGGCAACUCUGACCCAGCCAUGCCGCGUGAGUGAAGACGGUUUUCGGAUUGUAAAGCUCUUUCGGAUGUGACGAUGAUGACGGUAGCAUCUAAAGAAGCCCCGGCUAACUUCGUGCCAGCAGCCGCGGUACUACGAAGGGGGCAAGCGUUGUUCGGACUUACUGGGCGUAAAGGGAGUGUAGGCGGUUUAGUAAGAUAGUUGUGAAAUCCCAGAGCUUAACGUUGGAAUUGCCAUUAUAACUAUUAGACUAGAAUUAAAGAGAGGAUAGUGGAAUACGCGGUGUAGAGGUGAAAUUCGUAGAUAUUGGGUAGAACACCAGGGGCGAAGGCGACUAUCUGGCUGUACAUUGACGCUGAGGCUCGAAAGCAUGGGGAUCAAACAGGAUUAGAUACCCGGGUAGUC
rnacentral:rRNA from 1 species